GACGAACGCUGGCGGCGUGCUUAACACAUGCAAGUCGAACGGAAAGGCCCUGCUUUUGUGGGGUGCUCGAGUGGGGAAGGCGUGAGUAACACGCGAGUAACCUGCCCUUGAAUUUGGGAUAACUUCAGGAAACUGGGGCUAAUAUCGGAUAGGAGCUCCUGCUGCAUGGGGGGGGUUGGAAAGUUUCGGCGGUUGGGGCUGGACUCGCGGCUUAUGAGCUUGUUUGUGGGGUAGUGGCUUACCAAGCCUUUGAACGGUACGCCGCCUGAGAGGGUGACCGGCCACAUUGCGACUGAGGUACGGCCCAGACUCCUACGGGAGGCAGCAGUGGGGAGUAUUGCACAAUGGGCGGAAGCGUGAUGCGGCAGCGCCGCGUGCGGGAUGACGGCCUUCGGGGUAUGAACCGCUUUCGCCUGUGACGAAGCGUGAGUGACGGUAAUGGGUAAAGAAGCACCGGCUAACUACGUG
rnacentral:rRNA from 1 species